rnacentral:rRNA from 1 species
UGAAUACGAGAUGCUACGGCGUCGAAGCAGUCUAUGUCAUACUUCCAAGAAAAGCUUGCACUGUCAUAAACAAAUAAUGCCUGUACCAUAACCGACACAGGUGGGUAGGUAGAGUAUACUAAGGGGCGCGAGAUAACUCUCUCUAAGGAACUCGGCAAAAUGACUCCGUAACUUCGGGAGAAGGAGUGCCUUAUUUAUAAGGUUGCAAUAACAAGAUCCAAGCAACUGUUUACCAAAAACACAGGUCUCCGCUAAGUCGUAAGACGAUGUAUGGGGGCUGACGCCUGCCCAGUGCCAGAAGGUUAAAGAAGUUGGUUAGCAUCCGCGAAGCUGAUAACUGAAGCCCUGGUGAACGGCGGCCGUAACAAUAGCGGUCCUAAGGUAGCGAAAUUCCUUGUCGGGUAAGUUCCGACCCGCACGAAAGGCGUAAUGAUUUGGAUACUGUCUCGGAGAGGGGCUCGGUGAAAUAGACUUGUCUGUGAAGAUGCGGACUACCUGCACCAGGACAGAAAGACCCUAUGAAGCUUUACUGUAACCUGAAAUUGAAAUUGGACUUUACUUGCGCAGUAUAGGUGGGAGGCGUUGAGAAUAUUCUUGCGGGAUUAUUGGAGCCAUCAGUGAGAUACCACUCUUGUAAUGUUAGAUUUCUAACUUUGUAUCAUUAUCUGGUCAAAGAACAGUUUCAGGCGGGCAGUUUGACUGGGGCGGUCGCCUCCUAAACGGUAACGGAGGCGCACAAAGGUUUCCUCUGAACGGGUAGAAAUCGUAUCUAGAGUGUAAAGGCAUAAGGAAGCUUGACUGUGAGACCUACAAGUCGAGCAGGGACGAAAGUCGGUCUUAGUGAUCUGACGGUGCUGAGUGGAAAGGCCGUCACUCAACGGAUAAAAGUUACUCUAGGAUAACAGGCUGAUCUCCCCCAAGAGUUCACAUCGACGGGGAGGUUUGGCACCUCGAUGUCGGCUCAUCGCAUCCUGGGGCGGUAGUACGUCCCAAGGGUUGGGCUGUUCGCCCAUGAAAGCGGUACGCGAGCUGGGUUCAGAACGUCGUGAGACAGUUCGGUCCAUAUCCGGUGUAGGCGUUAGAAUAUUGAGAGGAGCCUUCUUUAGUACGAGAGGACCGAGAAGGACAUACCUCUGGUGUACCAGUUAUCGUGCCAACGGUAAACGCUGGGUAGCUAUGUGUGGAGUGGAUAACCGCUGAAAGCAUCUAAGUGGGAAGCCCACCUCAAGAUAAGUA